GACGAACGCUGGCGGCGUGCUUAACACAUGCAAGUCGAACGGAAAGGCCCUGCUUGCAGGGUACUCGAGUGGCGAACGGGUGAGUAACACGUGGGUGAUCUGCCCUGCACUUCGGGAUAAGCCUGGGAAACUGGGUCUAAUACCGGAUAGGAGCCAUUUUUAGUGUGAUGGUUGGAAAGUUUUUUCGGUGUAGGAUGAGCUCGCGGCCUAUCAGCUUGUUGGUGGGGUAAUGGCCUACCAAGGCGGCGACGGGUAGCCGGCCUGAGAGGGUGGACGGCCACAGUGGGACUGAGAUACGGCCCAGACUCCUACGGGAGGCAGCAGUGGGGAAUAUUGCACAAUGGGCGCAAGCCUGAUGCAGCGACGCCGCGUGGGGGAUGAUGGCCUUCGGGUUGUAAACUCCUUUCGCUAGGGACGAAGCUUUUUGUGACGGUACCUAGAGAAGAAGCACCGGCUAACUACGUG
rnacentral:rRNA from 1 species